rnacentral:rRNA from 1 species
CACACUGGACUGAGACACGGUCCAGACUCCUACGGGAGGCAGCAGUGGGGAAUAUNGNACAAUGGGCGCAAGCCUGAUGCAGCCAUGCCGCGUGUGUGAAGAAGGCCUUCGGGUUGUAAAGCACUUUCAGUCGUGAGGAAGGUAGUUGCGUUAAUAGCGUAAUUAUUUGACGUUAGCGACAGAAGAAGCACCGGCUAACUCCGUGCCAGCAGCCGCGGUAAUACGGAGGGUGCGAGCGUUAAUCGGAAUUACUGGGCGUAAAGCGCAUGCAGGUGGUUUGUUAAGUCAGAUGUGAAAGCCCGGGGCUCAACCUCGGAAUUGCAUUUGAAACUGGCAGACUAGAGUACUGUAGAGGGGGGUAGAAUUUCAGGUGUAGCGGUGAAAUGCGUAGAGAUCUGAAGGAAUACCGGUGGCGAAGGCGGCCCCCUGGACAGAUACUGACACUCAGAUGCGAAAGCGUGGGGAGCAAACAGGAUUAGAUACCCUGGUAGUCCACGCCGUAAACGAUGUCUACUUGGAGGUUGUGGCCUUGAGCCGUGGCUUUCGGAGCUAACGCGUUAAGUAGACCGCCUGGGGAGUACGGUCGCAAGAUUAAAACUCAAAUGAAUUGACGGGGGCCCGCACAAGCGGUGGAGCAUGUGGUUUAAUUCGAUGCAACGC